CAGCAGCCGCGGUAAUACGUAGGUGGCAAGCGUUGUCCGGAAUUAUUGGGCGUAAAGCGCGCGCAGGAGGUUUAAUAAGUCUGAUGUGAAAGCCCACGGCUCAACCGUGGAGGGUCAUUGGAAACUGUUAAACUUGAGUGCAGGAGAGAAAAGUGGAAUUCCUAGUGUAGCGGUGAAAUGCGUAGAGAUUAGGAGGAACACCAGUGGCGAAGGCGGCUUUUUGGCCUGUAACUGACACUGAGGCGCGAAAGCGUGGGGAGCAAACAGGAUUAGAUACCCCGGUAGUCCACGCCGUAAACGAUGAGUGCUAAGUGUUGGUCUCAUAAGAGAUCAGUGCUGCAGCUAACGCAUUAAGCACUCCGCCUGGGGAGUACGACCGCAAGGUUGAAACUCAAAGGAAUUGACGGGGACCCGCACAAGCGGUGGAGCAUGUGGUUUAAUUCGAAGCAACGCGAAGAACCUUACCAAGUCUUGACAUACUGUGAGGACACAAGAGAUUGUGUUGUUCUGACCUAUGGUUAGACACAGAUACAGGUGGUGCAUGGUUGUCGUCAGCUCGUGUCGUGAGAUGUUGGGUUAAGUCCCGCAACGAGCGCAACCCUUAUAUCUAGUUGCCAGCAGUAAGAUGGGGACUCUAGAUAGACUGCCUGUGAUAAACUGGAGGAAGGUGGGGAUGACGUCAAAUCAUCAUGCCCCUUAUGACUUGGGCUACACACGUGCUACAAUGGAUAGGAACAAAGAGAAGCGAGCUCGCGAGAGUCAGCCAACCUCAUAAAACUAUUCUCAGUUCGGAUUGUAGUCUGCAACUCGACUACAUGAAGCUGGAAUCGCUAGUAAUCGCGAAUCAGAAUGUCGCGGUGAAUACGUUCCCGGGUCUUGUACACACCGCCCGUCACACCACGAGAGUUUGUAACACCCGAAGACGGUGGCCUAACCUAUAAGGAGGGAGCCGGUCACGGUGGGACAGAUGAUUGGGGUGAAGUCGUAACAAGGUAGCCGU
rnacentral:rRNA from 1 species